rnacentral:rRNA from 1 species
UCGUACGCUUCUUUUUCCACCGGAGCUUGCUCCACCGGAAAAAGAAGAGUGGCGAACGGGUGAGUAACACGUGGGUAACCUGCCCAUCAGAAGGGGAUAACACUUGGAAACAGGUGCUAAUACCGUAUAACAAUCGAAACCGCAUGGUUUUGAUUUGAAAGGCGCUUUCGGGUGUCGCUGAUGGAUGGACCCGCGGUGCAUUAGCUAGUUGGUGAGGUAACGGCUCACCAAGGCCACGAUGCAUAGCCGACCUGAGAGGGUGAUCGGCCACAUUGGGACUGAGACACGGCCCAAACUCCUACGGGAGGCAGCAGUAGGGAAUCUUCGGCAAUGGACGAAAGUCUGACCGAGCAACGCCGCGUGAGUGAAGAAGGUUUUCGGAUCGUAAAACUCUGUUGUUAGAGAAGAACAAGGAUGAGAGUAACUGUUCAUCCCUUGACGGUAUCUAACCAGAAAGCCACGGCUAACUACGUGCCAGCAGCCGCGGUAAUACGUAGGUGGCAAGCGUUGUCCGGAUUUAUUGGGCGUAAAGCGAGCGCAGGCGGUUUCUUAAGUCUGAUGUGAAAGCCCCCGGCUCAACCGGGGAGGGUCAUUGGAAACUGGGAGACUUGAGUGCAGAAGAGGAGAGUGGAAUUCCAUGUGUAGCGGUGAAAUGCGUAGAUAUAUGGAGGAACACCAGUGGCGAAGGCGGCUCUCUGGUCUGUAACUGACGCUGAGGCUCGAAAGCGUGGGGAGCAAACAGGAUUAGAUACCCUGGUAGUCCACGCCGUAAACGAUGAGUGCUAAGUGUUGGAGGGUUUCCGCCCUUCAGUGCUGCAGCUAACGCAUUAAGCACUCCGCCUGGGGAGUACGACCGCAAGGUUGAAACUCAAAGGAAUUGACGGGGGCCCGCACAAGCGGUGGAGCAUGUGGUUUAAUUCGAAGCAACGCGAAGAACCUUACCAGGUCUUGACAUCCUUUGACCACUCUAGAGAUAGAGCUUCCCCUUCGGGGGCAAAGUGACAGGUGGUGCAUGGUUGUCGUCAGCUCGUGUCGUGAGAUGUUGGGUUAAGUCCCGCAACGAGCGCAACCCUUAUUGUUAGUUGCCAUCAUUUAGUUGGGCACUCUAGCAAGACUGCCGGUGACAAACCGGAGGAAGGUGGGGAUGACGUCAAAUCAUCAUGCCCCUUAUGACCUGGGCUACACACGUGCUACAAUGGGAAGUACAACGAGUCGCGAAGUCGCGAGGCUAAGCUAAUCUCUUAAAGCUUCUCUCAGUUCGGAUUGUAGGCUGCAACUCGCCUACAUGAAGCCGGAAUCGCUAGUAAUCGCGGAUCAGCACGCCGCGGUGAAUACGUUCCCGGGCCUUGUACACACCGCCCGUCACACCACGAGAGUUUGUAACACCCGAAGUCGGUGAGGUAACCUUUGGAGCCAGCC